GAUGAACGCUGGCGGCGUGCCUAAUACAUGCAAGUCGAGCGAACAGACAAGGAGCUUGCUCCUUUGACGUUAGCGGCGGACGGGUGAGUAACACGUGGGUAACCUACCUAUAAGACUGGGAUAACUUCGGGAAACCGGAGCUAAUACCGGAUAAUAUUUCGAACCGCAUGGUUCGAUAGUGAAAGAUGGUUUUGCUAUCACUUAUAGAUGGACCCGCGCCGUAUUAGCUAGUUGGUAAGGUAACGGCUUACCAAGGCGACGAUACGUAGCCGACCUGAGAGGGUGAUCGGCCACACUGGAACUGAGACACGGUCCAGACUCCUACGGGAGGCAGCAGUAGGGAAUCUUCCGCAAUGGGCGAAAGCCUGACGGAGCAACGCCGCGUGAGUGAUGAAGGUCUUCGGAUCGUAAAACUCUGUUAUUAGGGAAGAACAUACGUGUAAGUAACUAUGCACGUCUUGACGGUACCUAAUCAGAAAGCCACGGCUAACUACGUGCCAGCAGCCGCGGUAAUACGUAGGUGGCAAGCGUUAUCCGGAAUUAUUGGGCGUAAAGCGCGCGUAGGCGGUUUUUUAAGUCUGAUGUGAAAGCCCACGGCUCAACCGUGGAGGGUCAUUGGAAACUGUAAAACUUGAGUGCAGAAGAGGAAAGUGGAAUUCCAUGUGUAGCGGUGAAAUGCGCAGAGAUAUGGAGGAACACCAGUGGCGAAGGCGACUUUCUGGUCUGUAACUGACGCUGAUGUGCGAAAGCGUGGGGAUCAAACAGGAUUAGAUACCCUGGUAGUCCACGCCGUAAACGAUGAGUGCUAAGUGUUAGGGGGUUUCCGCCCCUUAGUGCUGCAGCUAACGCAUUAAGCACUCCGCCUGGGGAGUACGACCGCAAGGUUGAAACUCAAAGGAAUUGACGGGGACCCGCACAAGCGGUGGAGCAUGUGGUUUAAUUCGAAGCAACGCGAAGAACCUUACCAAAUCUUGACAUCCUUUGACAACUCUAGAGAUAGAGCCUUCCCCUUCGGGGGACAAAGUGACAGGUGGUGCAUGGUUGUCGUCAGCUCGUGUCGUGAGAUGUUGGGUUAAGUCCCGCAACGAGCGCAACCCUUAAGCUUAGUUGCCAUCAUUAAGUUGGGCACUCUAAGUUGACUGCCGGUGACAAACCGGAGGAAGGUGGGGAUGAUGUCAAAUCAUCAUGCCCCUUAUGAUUUGGGCUACACACGUGCUACAAUGGACAAUACAAAGGGCAGCGAAACCGCGAGGUCAAGCAAAUCCCAUAAAGUUGUUCUCAGUUCGGAUUGUAGUCUGCAACUCGACUACAUGAAGCUGGAAUCGCUAGUAAUCGUAGAUCAGCAUGCUACGGUGAAUAAGUAGCCGGGUCU
rnacentral:rRNA from 1 species